rnacentral:tRNA from 1 species
AGAGUAUAGCUCUAGUGGUAGAGUGCAUGCCUAGCAUGCAUGAGGCCCUGGGUUCAAUCCCCAGUUCCUCCA